CAGUCGCCGCGGUAAUACGUAGGUGGCAAGCGUUGUCCGGAAUUAUUGGGCGUAAAGGGCACGCAGGCGGUUUCUCAAGUCUGAUGUGAAAGCCCCCGGCUCAACCGGGGAGGGUCAUUGGAAACUGGGAAACUUGAGUGCAGAAGAGGAGAGUGGAAUUCCACGUGUAGCGGUGAAAUGCGUAGAGAUGUGGAGGAACACCAGUGGCGAAGGCGACUCUCUGGUCUGUAACUGACGCUGAGGGGCGAAAGCGUGGGGAGCGAACAGGAUUAGAUACCCCAGUAGUCCCUGUCUCUUAUAC
rnacentral:rRNA from 1 species